rnacentral:rRNA from 1 species
CCAAUAGCGUAUAUUAAAGUUGUUGCAGUUAAAAAGCUCGUAGUUGAAUUUCGGGGUCAGCAGGUUGGUCGUGCCACUGGUAUGCACUGGCUUCGCUGAUUCCUCCUUUCCGAAGAACUGUAAUGUCAUUAAUUUGGUGUUGCAGGGAAACAGGACUGUUACUUUGAAAAAAUUAGAGUGUUUAAAGCAGGCUAACGCUUGAAUACAUUAGCAUGGAAUAAUGAAAUAGGACGUUCGAUCCUAUUUUGUUGGUUUCUAGGAUUGACGUAAUGAUUAAUAGGGAUAGUUGGGGGCAUUAGUAUUCAAUUGUCAGAGGUGAAAUUCUUGGAUUUAUUGAAGACUAACUACUGCGAAAGCAUUUGCCAAGGAUGAUUUCAUUAAUCAAGAACGAAAGUUAGGGGAUCGAAGACGAUCAGAUACCGUCGUAGUCUUAACCAUAAACUAUGCCGACUAGGGAUCGGAUGAUGUUAAUUUUUUAAUGACUCAUUCGGCGCCUUACG